UAAUAGCGUAUAUUAAAGUUGUUGCAGUUAAAAAGCUCGUAGUUGGAUUUCAGAGUUCAUGGACCCGUCCACUGACGUGAGACGGGUGAUUUGGGCUCUUCUGUCUGACGAACAUACAUGCACUUAAUUGGGCAGUAUGGAACUCAGGCCGUUUACCCUGAAAAAAUUAGAGUGUUCAAAGCAGGCUUCACAGCUUGAAUACAUUAGCAUGGGAUAAUGAAAUAGGACUUCGAUUCUAUUUUGUUGGUUUCUAGAACCGAAGUAAUGAUUAAUAGGGAUAGUUGGGGGCAUUAAUAUUUGAUAGUCAGAGGUGAAAUUCUUGGAUUUAUGAAAGAUUAACUUCUGCGAAAGCAUUUGCCAAGGAUGUUUNCAUUA
rnacentral:rRNA from 1 species